rnacentral:rRNA from 5 species
GGCUCUUGGGUCGUAAACCUCUUUUCUCAGGGAAGAAAAAAAUGACGGUACCUGAGGAAUAAGCAUCGGCUAACUCCGUGCCAGCAGCCGCGGUAAUACGGAGGAUGCAAGCGUUAUCCGGAAUGAUUGGGCGUAAAGCGUCCGCAGGUGGCAAUGUAAGUCUGCUGUUAAAGAGUGAGGCUCAACCUCAUAAGAGCAGUGGAAACUACAUAGCUAGAGUACGUUCGGGGCAGAGGGAAUUCCUGGUGUAGCGGUGAAAUGCGUAGAGAUCAGGAAGAACACCGGUGGCGAAGGCGCUCUGCUAGGCCGUAACUGACACUGAGGGACGAAAGCUAGGGGAGCGAAUGGGAUUAGAUACCCCAGUAGUCCUAGCCGUAAACGAUGGAUACUAGGCGUGGCUUGUAUCGACCCGAGCCGUGCCGUAGCUAACGCGUUAAGUAUCCCGCCUGGGGAGUACGCCGGCAACGGUGAAACUCAAAGGAAUUGACGGGGGCCCGCACAAGCGGUGGAGUAUGUGGUUUAAUUCGAUGCAACGCGAAGAACCUUACCAAGGCUUGACAUGUCGCGAAUCCUGGUGAAAGCUGGGAGUGCCUUCGGGAGCGCGAACACAGGUGGUGCAUGGCUGUCGUCAGCUCGUGUCGUGAGAUGUUGGGUUAAGUCCCGCAACGAGCGCAACCCUCGUUUUUAGUUGCCAGCAUUAAGUUGGGCACUCUAGAGAGACUGCCGGUGACAAACCGGAGGAAGGUGGGGAUGACGUCAAGUCAGCAUGCCCCUUACGCCUUGGGCUACACACGUACUACAAUGCUCCGGACAGAGGGCAGCAAGCCAGCGAUGGCAAGCAAAUCCCGUAAACCGGAGCUCAGUUCAGAUCGCAGGCUGCAACUCGCCUGCGUGAAGGAGGAAUCGCUAGUAAU